GAUAUCUUUUGACUUGUGAAUAAAUUGGAUUUUAAUGAGACAGAGUUGCCUUUUUUUUUUCUAGUCAUCCAAGUUUAGUGGCAAGACAAAAGUCAAGAUGACAAGAAGUCAAGACAAAAGUUAAGGUGAUGGCUUGGGAUGCUGUGGAUGGCAAACAUAUUUAGGAGGAAAACACAAAUUCCAAGUGCUUCCCUCCACAUGGGUGAGGAUAAAAUGGAGACCAGAUUCGGAUAAUGUGUAGCAGAAAAGGUGAAGAAACUGAAGCUAAGAGGGAAAGUAUCUUUCCAACUUCCAUAAUGCUAGACAUUCUCUAAGGAAGAUCCUACUAUCUCUUGGACUAUAUGCCAUAUUUCUGACUGAAAGACUUCCAAACCAUAAUGUCUCUUCAUGGACCUUCCCUCACUACUUUAGGUCUCCUUGCUUUAGAAAAUAUAGCUACCCAUGUGACCUUCUCAAGAUAGAACAUUCCUUUGUAGACCUACUCUCUUCUUUCAUUGGUGAGUUUCCUUGGAGACUGUUUUAUAGAGGUACCAAUUCCAC
rnacentral:lncRNA from 1 species